rnacentral:misc_RNA from 1 species
GAAAUGCGAUAAGUAGUGUGAAUUGCAGAAUUCAGUGAAUCAUCGAAUCUUUGAACGCACAUUGCGCCCUUUGGUAUUCCUUAGGGCAUGCCUGUUCGAGCGUCAUCUAAACCUUCAAGCCCUGCUUGGUGUUGGGUGCCUGUCCCGCCUCCGCGCGCGGACUCACCUCAAAUCCAUUGGCGGCCCCCGCGUCGGCCACGAGCGCAGCAGAAACGCGAACUCGUGAGCCCGUCCGGGCGGCUCCCAGAAGCUACACCCACCCAGUUUGACCUCGGAUCAGGUAGGGAUACCCGCUGAGCUUAAGC